GGAGAAAAAAAAACUACAUCUGUACAACUGAUUCUGAAAAUGAUCUGAAGAUUGGCAGAAUAGACUUUGCACAGCUCAUCAUAGAGAAAAGAUCACCUCAGUAAGACUAGGGGGGCAGAGACCUGGUUGGGAGAAUUGGACAUUAAUACAAUAACAGUAGAAAACUGUAACACCCCAUUUACAUCAACAGAUACAUCAUCUGGAAAGAAAAUAAGGAAACAGUGUCUUUGAAUGACACAUAAAAUCAGAUGGACCUAACAGAUAUGUACAGAACAUUCCCUCCCAAAACAACAGAAUACACAUUCUUUUCAAGUACACAUGGUACAUUAUCCAGGAUAGACCACACGUCAGUGUACAAAACAAGUCUCAGAAGUUUAAAAAGACUGAAACCCUAUCAAGCAUCUCUUCCAACCACAAUAGUAUGAAACUAGAAAUCUAUUACAAGAAAACCAGAAAUAAACACACACAGGCUAAACAGCAUACUACUAAACAACCAAUGGGUCAAUGAAGAAAUCAAGGACGAAAUCAAGAAAUAUGUGGAGACAAAUAAAAAUGAAAACACAAAGGCCCAAAAUCUUUGGGACACAGCAGCUCUUUCCCUCAAAAGCAGUUCUAAGAGGGAAGUUUAUAGCAAUACAGGUCUAUCUCAAGAAAUAAGAAAAAUCUCAAGUGUACAACCGAACCUUACAACUAAAGGAACUAAAAAAAGAACAAAGCCCAAAGCUAGUAAAAGAAAUAAUAAAUAUUAGCAUGAAAAUAAAUGAAAUAGAGACUUAAAAAGCAAUAGAAAAAAAGAUCAGUGAAACCAAGAGCUGUUUCUUUGAAUAGGUCAACAAAAUUGAUAAACCUUUAGCCAGACUC